UUGCCCACUUGAGGUUUAAAAUGUCUUUAGUGGCCAUUAUUAAGGGGUAGACUGUAAUCCUCUCUAAACCUGGGUCAGGGUUCUCAACCCUGUCUCUGGACCUGUCGAGAGGAACAUAA